ensembl:misc_RNA Metazoa_SRP Metazoan signal recognition particle RNA
GCCAGGCAUGGUGGUGCAUGCCUGUAAUCCCAGCUACUCAGGAGGCUGAGGCACGAGAAUUGCUUGAGCCUGGAAGAUUGAGGCUGCAGUGAGCUGAGAUUGUGCCACUACACUCCAGCCUGGGCAACAGAGUGAGACCUAGUCUCAA